rnacentral:misc_RNA from 1 species
CUGUAGUAGCACCGAUAGAGAACCACAACUACGCACAGCGUCCCUCAUUUCACAGCCCUCACGGAUCCAAACCAUACCUGUCCCUUGACUCCGGUACCUGUGCGUGUCGUUCCUUCCCUGAUACCCCUCUAUCACCACCUCAUAUUCUACGCAGCGGCGGUAAGAAUACGUGUGUGUGUGUGUUUUUGCGCACCCAUCAGCCCAGCAUGUCCUCCGCCGACUCCAUGUUCGCAGAUGCGGACAAGAAAACGAAGAAGAUGUUCUUCAAGGACUUCGAGGGCGCUUUCGACCUUUUCAACAGGGCCGGCGUUCGGUACAAGCUGGACAAGGACUACAUGCGCGCCGGCGAGGCCUACUCGCGUGCCGGCGACUGUGCGGUGAAGCUUGGCGACAAGGCGGGCGCCGGUAUGGCCUUUGCCGACGCCGCGAAUGCCUACAAGAAGAUCGACGCGGGCAAGGCCAAGACGAUGGUUGACAUGGCAGUGCGUCUGCAGCUUGAAAACAACCGCCUGUCCGGCGCGGCGCGGCUUCUCUUCGAGUUCGCUGCCUCUCUCGAGGAACAGGGGUCCGGCAUGGACGCUAUCCCAUAUUAUGAGCAAGCCAUGCAGUACUUCAACGCCGAGGACCAGAAGGCGCAGGCGCAGAAGUGCAUGAUCGCGAUAGGGAAGAUCUGCGGCGAGAACGACCAGUAUGACAAAGCCCUCAUGUACUACGAACGCAUCGCCAACGACAUGCUUGGCGGCCCUCUCAAGUUCCAGGCGCAGGACUACUUCCUACGGGCGAUGCUAUGCCGCUACGCCAUGGUAAACAACGACAACCGCUUCGAGAGGAGCGAGGAGUGCCGCGACGCACUGCAGCAGUACAUGUCUGCCGACAUCUACCUAAAGAACACGCGCGAGGCGGAGUUCCUGCAGCUCAUCCUGGAGGCCGUCACCGACAACGACAUGGAGAAGUUUGAGCUCGGCGUGUCGCUACUGCAGGACAUUCGAAAGCUGGACGACUGGAAGACGCAUGUGCUGCUUGUGGUGAAGCACAACAUGGAGAGCCUCACGUAAGUCCAUCCAUGAUUGACGUGAGAGGGAACAAGAGAGUGAGAGUGCGAGAGGCGAAUCCCCACCCACUUAUGUGGAUGUGAGAGCGUGUAGGGGGAGGAACACGGCUAGCUAACUUGAGACAACGCUCUCUCUCUGUGCCCUACGCGUGCAGGCCAUUGCUACCUCGCCAUCGCUCUUGUCUGCCUCACCUCUCUUCCUCACUCAUUAUUCUUCUCGUCAUCCAUCUUCAGGUCUGCCACAUUCACAUAUGCAAGUGCCCUCUGACUAGUGCGCCCUCCCCCCUCCCUACUGCCGUCGCAGCCGCCUCGCUGGGUGUCCGUCUUCGGACAUGUGCGCGGUGACUGCGGGGCUUGAUGAAGGGCACCGAGACAACGUGGCCUGUGAACAGCGAGCGACGACGCCUCGAUCCCUAUGUUCGCUCUCUCCCUGUUGUUUGCUUGCUCUCGUCCAUUUCGCUGUGAACUUCGUGUUUGCCGCCUGCGCUACUUGUCGUGCUGUUCGUUUUCACUGGACAGUUGCUGCGACGGUUGGUGUCCGUGUCACGGGACCGACAUGCGCGUGCUCAUGCCUGCAUGUGUCUGUGCGUGAGGCAACGAGAUCGCACGUGGCUGGUAGUCGUCUCUCAGCCUUUCCUGUCGCACCCCCGAGUACUCGAGUGCUAUGGUGGCGUUGUUUGUCUCGCUGCUUCAGAGGAAGUGUGAAACCCUCUCUUCCAUUCUCACGAACAGGCCCCUCCGCUUCAUGCCUUGGGCAUAGGCUGAGUGGCGGCGAGACAAAGAGGUGCGAGUGUGUGCUUGGUCUCUGAGAGGGUGUUUGC